rnacentral:rRNA from 1 species
UACAGGGGGUGCAAACGUUGCUCGGAAUUAUUGGGCGUAAAGCGCGCGUAGGCGGCUACUUAAGUCGGAUGUGAAAGCCCUUGGCUCAACUGAGGAAGUGCACCCGAAACUGAGUGGCUAGAGUACGAAAGAGGGUCGCGGAAUUCCCGGUGUAGAGGUGAAAUGCGUAGAUAUCUGGAGGAACACCGGUGGCGAAGGCGGCAUCCUGGACCAACACUGACGCUGAGGAGCGAAAGCCAGGGGAGCAAACGGG